rnacentral:misc_RNA from 1 species
GAUGAAGAACGUAGCGAAAUGCGAUAAGUAGUGUGAAUUGCAGAAUUCAGUGAAUCAUCGAAUCUUUGAACGCACAUUGCGCCUCUUGGUAUCCCGAGGGGCAUGCCUGUUCGAGCGUCAUUUCACCACUCAAGCCUGGCUUGGUGUUGGGCGACGUCCUCUUUGGGGACGCGCCUCGAAACGCUCGGCGGCGUGGCACCGGCUUUAAGCGUAGCAGAAUCUUUCGCUUUGGAAGUCGGGGCCCCGUCUGCCGGAAGACCUGCUCGCAAGGUUGACCUCGGAUCAGGCAGGGAUACCCGCUGAACUUAAGCAUAUCAAUAAGCGGAGGA